AACGAACGCUGGCGGCGUGCCUAACACAUGCAAGUCGAACGGAAUUAGAGAGCUUGCUCUUUGAUUUAGUGGCGCACGGGUGAGUAUCGCGUAGAUAAUCUGCCUGACGAUCUGGGAUAACACUUCGAAAGAGGUGCUAAUACCGGAUAAGCCCACGGGUUCAUUGGAAUCUGCGGGAAAAGGGGGGGACCUUCGGGCCUUCUGUCGUCAGAUGAGUCUGCGUACCAUUAGCUAGUUGGUAGGGUAAAGGCCUACCAAGGCGACGAUGGUUAGCUGGUCUGCGAGGAUGAGCAGCCACACUGGAACUGAGACACGGUCCAGACUCCUACGGGAGGCAGCAGUGGGGAAUUUUGCGCAAUGGGCGAAAGCCUGACGCAGCAACGCCGCGUGAGUGAUGAAGGCUUUCGGGUCGUAAAGCUCUGUCAAUGGGAAAGAAGUGUAUUUUGGCUAAUAUCCUUAAUACUUGACGGUACCCAUAAAGGAAGCACCGGCUAACUCCGUGCCAGCCGCCGCGGUAAGAC
rnacentral:rRNA from 1 species